UGAGGAAUAUUGCACAAUGGGGGCAACCCUGAUGCAGCAACGCCGCGUGGAGGAUGAAGGUCUUUGGAUUGUAAACUCCUUUUCUUGGGGAAGAGCAGGGACGGUACCCGAGGAAUAAGUCACGGCUAACUACGUGCCAGCAGCCGCGGUAAUACGUAGGUGGCAAGCGUUAUCCGGAAUUACUGGGCGUAAAGGGCACGCAGGCGGCGGUCAAAGUCUGACGUGAAAGCUCCUGGCUUAACUGGGAGAGGUCGUUGGAAACUAGAUGGCUUGAGGUGAUGAGAGGGGUGCGGAAUUCUCGGUGUAGUGGUGGAAUGCGUAGAUAUCGGGAGGAACACCAGUGGCGAAGGCGGCACCCUGGCAUUAACCUGACGCUCAUGUGCGAAAGCGUGGGGAGCGAACGGGAUUAGAUACCCCCGUAGUCC
rnacentral:rRNA from 1 species